rnacentral:rRNA from 1 species
GGCGAUAGCAAGAAGGAUACACCUGUUCCCAUGCCGAACACAGAAGUUAAGCUUCUUAGCGCCGAUAGUAGUUGGGGGUUUC